rnacentral:lncRNA from 1 species
AUUCCCCAGGUGCAUGGCACAGCCUGAUACAUAAAGGGACACCCAGUGUGCAGCACAACCAGGUUUCCCUCCCUUUGCUGACCGAAGCAGCUGAAGCCACAGCAGCUGGCAGUGGGCAAGAAAUGGAACCGUUUCUCUUUUUCCUGUUUCCUCAUGUUUUCCUACAAGGCACAAACUUACAAAAGACCGUUUCUGAAAGUGGAGCAGACAGGAAAAGCACCCAAUUUUGACAUUUCACAACCUCUCUGUCAGGCCAGGAAUAAGCCCCAUUUACAGAGGCGGACAGAGGGCAGUCGGCGUCGCCGCCCAGCGAGGAGGGGGCAGCGGGCCGGGCCUCAGGCGUCUGCUCUCCCACCACUUCGGAAUAAGGAUGCGUUUGGCUGUGCACAGUCGGUGAGGGUGGAAGGAGCUGUUUCACAGCCUUGCAAACAAGACCAGCAUUGUCCAAAGUUCGCUGUUUCUGCCGCCAUUCCCUUGUUCCCCUCUGCCCUCAGAAGAUUUUUAAAGUGUUCAGGGCCAUGAUGUUGCCCAGUUUUGUUACCAACUUUCCUUUUUCUUGAUCCUUUGUUUCAAUGUCUGCCUUCUUUCCCCCAUGUGCUCACUGAGGCCUGAUUGUGGGGUCAAGCUGUAAUUAGUUUAUAUAUGAAGUUUAAUUCACUGUGGCUCUUUUGACGUUAGACUCAAAUGGGCUUUGAUGUCUGGCUGGAGCUUUGAUCCCAGACCCUCGAAUGGUGGUCAUCAUCCCAACUCAAAGGACUGCCCUUUAUUUUUUCCCUUCUAUUCGGAGACAGCUUUUCCCAAUUACAUCAUUUGUAUGUGUUUGGCCAUAAAAGCUGUAAGGCAUCGUUUUGUUGCUUUGCUCUAUAGCAAAACAUGCAAUUGAUGCUCUUCGCUUGGCUGCAAUAGAAUGUUCACUGCUGGAUAAGGCAUUUGUAGAAUGAUGCUCAGACUUUGGUGGGGGUGCUCUUGGGAGCUGUUCUGCUCAAGGGCGAAGCCUCAGACUGCAUGAUCUGAGGGGCCCUUCCUGGCUCUGUCCAGGAAUGUCUUUAAGCAUAAGCUACACAACUGUGACAUAUUCAGUCAAGACUCUCAUGCUGGCAACUGUAUCUUACUCUCCAG